rnacentral:tRNA from 1 species
CUGUGGCUUAGCUGGUUAAAGCGCCGAUAUAGCGAAUACGCACUCGUGGGUUCGAAUCCCACCAG